rnacentral:tRNA from 1 species
GCGCCCGUAGCUCAGCUGGAUAGAGCGCCGGACUUCGAAUCCGUAGGCCGGGGGUUCGAAUCCCUCCGGGCGCGCCA